UCCUCUUUAGCUCAGUCGGUAGAGCACGCGGCUGUUAACCGCGGUGUCGUAAGUUCGAGUCUUACAAGGGGAGCCA
rnacentral:tRNA from 1 species